GCUCCAGUGGCGCAAUUGGUUAGCGCACGGUACUUAUAAUCAGUACACUGUGUAUGAAUUGAGAGCUAUGCCGGGGUUGUGAGUUCGAGCCUCACCUGGAGCA
rnacentral:tRNA from 1 species